rnacentral:rRNA from 1 species
UACAUGGGGUGCAAACGUUGCUCGGAAUUAUUGGGCGUAAAGCGCACGUAGGCGGUUUGUUAAGUCGGAUGUGAAAUCCCUCGGCUCAACUGAGGAAGUGCAUCCGAAACUGGCAAGCUUGAGUACGAAAGAGGGUCGCGGAAUUCCCGGUGUAGAGGUGAAAUUCGUAGAUAUCGGGAGGAACACCGGUGGCGAAGGCGGCGACCUGGGUCGAUACUGACGCUGAGGUGCGAAAGCGCGGGGAGCAAAAGGG